CUAGUCUUGUAAAGUUCCUGUUCUCAUUGCGAAAUUGCUCUUUAAUUACUUUCCCAUGCAACUUCUCCGCUUUUCCUUCACCGCGUACACACUCUCGCUUGCCCACGAAAAACACCCACUCACCACAGUAUUAAAUAUCAAUCAAUAUAUAUAAUUCACCACUACCAAACUUCCUUGUUCAAAUUGCACUUCCUCUUUCUUUUUCUCUUUCCCCUCUUCAUUCUUUGAGAUCGCCAAAAUACUCCAUUUUUUCGAUUCACGGAAGUAGAAAAAAUGGCACGAGUUAAGGUGACGAUGGAGGUGGGAACCGACGGCGUCGCCCUCAUCACCAUCUUUAAUCCUCCGGUGAACGCUCUAGCUAUUCCAAUUAUCGCUGGAUUGAAGGAGAAGUGGACUGAAGCGACGAUGAGAAACGAUGUUAAAGCUAUUGUUUUGACUGGAAAUAGAGGGAGAUUUUCUGGUGGUUUUGAUAUCAAUGUUUUUCAGAAGGUUCAUGGGACUGGAGAUAUUUCUCAAAUGCCUGAUGUUUCUGUUGAUCUUGUGGUGAACACGAUGGAAGAUGGUAAAAAGCCUGCAGUUGCUGCCAUAGAAGGACUUGCACUCGGAGGUGGCUUAGAAUUGGCAUUGGGAUGCCAUGCACGAAUUGCUGCACCAAGAGCACAACUGGGGUUGCCAGAGCUCAGUCUUGGAGUCAUGCCUGGAUUUGGAGGUACACAGCGUCUUCCGAGGCUUAUAGGUUUGUCUAAAGCUGUUGAACUUAUGAUGACAUCUAAACCAAUAAUGUCGGAGGAAGGGAAAAAGCUUGGUCUCAUUGAUGCCAUUGUCCCUUCAUCAGAGUUGUUAAAAGUAUCUAGACAGUGGGCACUUGAUAUUGCAGAAAGGCGCAAGCCUUGGAUGCGUUCCCUUCACAAGACGGACAAAAUUGGUCCCCUUUCAGAAGCACGUGAAAUACUGAAGGUGGCUAGGGAACAAGUGAAACAGACAGCUAAGAAUAUGCCUCAGCACUUGGCGUGCAUUGACGUAAUUGAAGAAGGCAUCAUCCAUGGAGGAUAUAAUGGGGUUCUCAAGGAAGCUAAAGUAUUCAAGGACCUUGUAUUGUCAGAUACAUCAAAGGGUCUUGUUCAUAUUUUUUUUUCCCAACGGGCAACAUCGAAGGUACCUAAUGUCACUGAUAUUGGCCUCAAACCUAGGACAGUCAAGAAAGUUGCUGUAAUAGGUGGAGGUUUAAUGGGUUCAGGCAUAGCUACAGCCCUUGCCCUUAGCAACACAAUUGUUAUACUUAAGGAAAUUAGUUCUGAGUUUCUUCAGAAGGGGAUGAAAGCUAUUGAAGCAAAUGUCAGCGGACUGGUAGCUAGAAAGAAAUUGCCACAGGAUAAAGCAGAUAAAGCCCUUUCAAUGGUUAAAGGUGCAUUGGAUUAUUCAGAUUUUAAGGAUGCGGAUAUGGUCAUAGAGGCUGUUAUUGAAAAUGUUCUACUAAAACAGAAAAUAUUUAGCGAGAUUGAGAAGGUAUGCCCUCCACAUUGUAUUUUGGCAACUAACACAUCUACUAUUGACCUCAACAUUAUUGGAGAAAAUACCAUAUCCAAGGAUCGGAUUAUCGGGGCCCACUUUUUCAGUCCUGCUCACAUUAUGCCUUUGCUGGAGAUAGUACGAACAGAGAAGACAUCUGCACAAGCAAUUCUUGACCUUAUAGCUGUUGGCAAAGCAAUAAAAAAAGUACCUGUUGUGGUGGGAAAUUGUACUGGUUUUGCUGUCAAUAGAACCUUCUUUCCCUACUCUCAGGGUGCACAUAUUCUGGUUAAUCUAGGAGUGGAUGUCUACAGGAUUGACACGCAAAUUGCCAGCUUUGGUCUCCCUAUGGGUCCCUUCCAGCUUCAGGAUUUAACAGGAUAUGGAGUGGCUGUUGCUGUAGGGAAAGAAUUUCGUUCAGCUUUUUCUGAUCGCACUUUUAAGUCUCCGUUGAUUGACCUUCUUAUAAAAAGUGGUAGAAAUGGUAAAAACAACGGAAAAGGCUACUAUAUUUAUGAGAAGGGAAGUAAGCCAAGACCCGAUUUUACUGUGGUUCCAAUUAUUGAGGAAUCAAGAAGGAUCGCUAACAUAAUGCCCGAAGGAAAGCCAAUAUCCGUAACUGACCAAGAAAUUGUUGAGAUGAUACUCUUUCCAGUUGUGAAUGAGGCAUGUCGUGUUUUGGAUGAAGGGAUAGUAGUCCGAGCCUCUGACCUUGAUGCGGCAUCUGUCCUUGGAAUGAGUUUCCCAUCUUACCGAGGUGGUAUUGUUUUCUGGGCCGACACUGUUGGUGCUGGACAUAUCUAUAGAAGUCUUAAGAAGUGGUCAGAACUAUAUGGUAAUUUCUUCAAGCCCUCAAGGUUCUUGGAAGAGAGAGCAACAAAGGGCAUCCCCUUGAGUGCACCUGCUUCUACGUCUUCAGAUUCAAGGUCACGCAUGUAAGCAAUGUGAACUCAAUGUUCCUACAACUGGGAAACAGGAUGUAUUUGAAGUAUAGAAAGAUCCCAGUUUGAGCUACCCCCAACGCGCCCCUAAUCAUCCAUAGCUGUGACAGAUCUGAAUUGUGGUGAGCUCCCGGCGUUCAGAGACUUGCUACCUUCUUUUGCACGGACUUCUAUUUUGUAUUUUUGGGAUAGUCAAUUCUGCAUUGUAUAUAUAUGUUGUCAGCUUUUAUACUUUGUAGAUCCUGUAUAGGUGACACCAGGUCCGGGGUUGGUCUAGUGUCAGUUCGUCUUUUUGGUCACUUUCAGGCCUUUUUGUAUAUUUUGUAACUUAUUUACAUAUUUAUAUCUUGACCCAACCUUUCUUUUGUUAUAUUCUUCUUGCUUUCGCCUUCUUAUGUUAUCAAUUAUUUAUUUAAAUUGA